rnacentral:rRNA from 1 species
GACGAACGCUGGCGGCGUGCUUAACACAUGCAAGUCGAACGGUGAAGCGCCUUCCUUUUUGGUGGGUGUGGAUGAGUGGCGAACGGGUGAGUAACACGUGAGUAACCUGCCCCCUUCUUCUGGAUAACCGCAUGAAAGUGUGGCUAAUACGGGAUAUUCUGGGUCUGUCGCAUGAUGGGUCUGGGAAAGAUAUUGUUUCGGUGGGGGAUGGGCUCGCGGCCUAUCAGCUUGUUGGUGGGGUGAUGGCCUACCAAGGCGGUGACGGGUAGCCGGCCUGAGAGGGUGGACGGUCACACUGGGACUGAGACACGGCCCAGACUCCUACGGGAGGCAGCAGUGGGGAAUAUCGCACAAUGGGCGCAAGCCUGAUGCAGCGACGCCGCGUGAGGGAUGGAGGCCUGCGGGUUGUGAACCUCUUUCGCCAGUGAAGCAGGCCUGCCUCGUUUGUGGGUGGGUUGACGGUAGCUGGAUAAGAAGCGCCGGCUAACUACGUG